AGGAACGGAAAGCAAGCUCGUUUGCUCCAAGUUUUCCUUUUUCGCGUUCACGAAGGAAUAAUUCGCACAAUCGGAUGAAGCGGUUCGCCCCUUGCAAAGGAACGGAGAGAAAAACCAGGGAAUCUUUGCUUCUCUUCGCUUCUCCUUCUGGAUUUACGUGUCUACCGGUACGUGCUGUGGGAGCUUCACUUUUAAAAAAGGAAAUGAACGCACCCAUCUCUGAAUCACUCCCGGUGAAGUUUCAUUUUAUGUAUCGUCUUUGAAACCGCGCAAUUUUCCCAACUAUACAUCCGAGGCUGUGUUUCAACCGUUACGUAGAAGUGCAUUUCAACCCUGCGUCAAAACGUAUAACAUCUUUGAAGUACGUGUUUCGCCAAGCUUCGCUGCCCGUAUCGUCGUUCUUAUAACGACCUAUGCCCUCUACUGCUCCCACGUCGAGACAACUCUCACACUUCCAUUCCCAUCAAGAAAUUCAGACCGGCCUGAACUAGCAAGAACAUCGAGACAUCGGUUAAACACACCAAACACCUAUGAAUGCCGACUAACACCAGUUUAUUUACAUGUGGGCGAUUUUAACGAUUUCCAACCUAUUGGUUCUCUUACAUCGAAAACGGUCCGCCUCUUUGCGAUCCGCUUAGAGGAUCUCAUUGCGAACCCUAUCGAUCGACGCCACCCGGUGGUGGUUUCUUACGUUUCAGCAAGGAUUCUACAAAACAUUUUCUCCGACGCUCUUACUAGAAAGAUUGCAACUUACAAACCAUCGACGAUCGAAGGAGAAAGGGUAAACACAAGACGGUGAUACCAACGGAUGGUUUCAUCGGGCUCUCUGAGAGGCCAACCUCGGUUCGCGUCAUUUUCUUGGCAAUCUGUUGAAGCGAAUCAUAACGCGCAUGCCUCCUUAGCCUCGACCUACGACGAGAACCAAAGAUGUAGGCAAAGACCAACACGAACACGAAGAUAAAGACGAAAGCGACUCGGAGGAUGAAAAAACGCGAGCACGGUUGAUGCUUUGAAGUCAGCGCUUCCGUGAUCGUCUAAGAAACCAGUAUCUAUCUAUCUUGUACUUUCUCUUAGCCAGGCACCGUGUCACGAUACGGUCUUUUAUGUUGGAGGAACGAAGGACGUAAUGCUGAUGAACUGGAUAGGGGAACCGAAUAUCUCGUUUAUUUUCACCAUUCCUUCGCACGGAUCUCUAAUCCAGCUUUUUCAAAGAUACAAGCGCGUACACGAUUCGUAUCCAGAUAUUAUACAACGUAUUUUCCUGUAUUAUUUCUCCGAAUGAAUUUAUGUUGCGCCUAAUGAGGAAAA
rnacentral:misc_RNA from 1 species